rnacentral:rRNA from 1 species
UACGUAGGGUGCAAGCGUUAAUCGGAAUUACUGGGCGUAAAGCGUGCGCAGGCGGCUUUGCAAGACAGAUGUGAAAUCCCGGGCUUAACCUGGGAACUGCAUUUGUGACUGCAAGGCUAGAGUACGGUAGAGGGGGAUGGAAUUCCGCGUGUAGCAGUGAAAUGCGUAGAUAUGCGGAGGAACACCGAUGGCGAAGGCAAUCCCCUGGACCUGUACUGACGCUCAUGCACGAAAGCGUGGGGAGCAAACAGG